ensembl:lncRNA
GGUCACUAAGGUCUUCCUGCCACUGCUCUGCAAUGUGUUCCCAUGGCGGCUGAGAACUCUCCCGACCCUCCCGUGAACUAUACGUUCAUGCACAUCUCACGGUGGCUCCAUAGGUAAAGUCGUCUGUUAGCCCUGGUACCUUCUCCGCCCUGUUAGCCCUGGUUCCUUCUCCGCCCUGUUAGCCCUGGUACCUUCUCCGCCCUGUUAGCCCUGGUUCCUUCUCCGCCCUGUUAGCCCUGGUACCUUCUCCGCCCUGUUAGCCCUGGUACCUUCUCCGCCCUGUUAGCCCUGGUUCCUUCUCCGCCCUGUUAGCCCUGGUACCUUCUCCGCCCUGUUAGCCCUGGUUCCUUCUCCGCCCUGUUAGCCCUGGUACCUUCUCCGCCCUGUUAGCCCUGGUUCCUUCUCCGCCCUGUUAGCCUAUUAGCAUGAACAGGUAGGAACAGCCACCAGUUGUGUGGCGGCACCACGCUCUGACGCAUACGCUAAUUAGUAAUGGGUUACCCACACGUUUUUGAUAGUCCACUUUAACUUCUACUCAUUAGAUGAAACAAAGUAGUAGCAGUUUAAAGCCUACCAUAUUAAGUAUAUGUUACAUACAGGUGGAAGAAGCUGCUGUCAAUCAAUUAAAACGCAGUAACGGGCGUUCCGGGAUUCACCUCACUGCCACAAACUCUCAUUAUCCCGUCCCCAGAAGCUACAGCAGCCCUCCCCAUGGAGGCGGGAGCGCACAGGUGACGGAUUUGAGGUGCUACACCGCCACCUGUUGUCCCGCGCAGGCGCUGCAGUCCCCCUGCUGAGCGCCACACGGGCGCGUCCGCCGCCGCUUUCCCUCAACCCGAAGCAGAGCUGUUUUUCUCUCUCCUCUCGGAUGACAGCCGUCCUCUGCGCGCUUCAGCAGCACAUUUAAGGAGGGAUCAGAACUGCUUUUUUUCCGUGGCUGUGUUUCGCCUUGGUCGGCAUUAGUGGGGAAGAAGAGCUGCGGUGAAAGGAGAGAGACAGAGAGAGACUCCCGUCUCCAGCUGCUGGAUACCAGUAUUGAGACGAUAUCAUCCUGCCUGGAAUGCAAAGACUCAAUUGAUCGAGUGGUAUCACGUGGGAUGGUUUAACUCGAAUGCAAUUGGUCUGUGCUUCAAGCCACUACCGUAAAGACGACCAAAGCUGCGCCGGGUGAAAACUGCGCUCUCACGUUCAAAACGCAAGUCCAGUUUUUUUUUUUUGCUUUUGGUCCGGAUCCGGACUGUGGUCCGCCAGUUAGUGACCUCUGGCCUAGAGUGUUGUGGUGGUAGAAAUUGGUUCUACAUAGACAGGUGAUUGAAAAGAACAAGAGUAGAUUGUGUUUUAUUUUGGGCUCUCAGAUGAAGGAUAGUUGA